rnacentral:misc_RNA from 1 species
UUUCCGUAGGUGAACCUGCGGAAGGAUCAUUCAUAAUAAAGUGUUAUAUGGCACUUUUUAAAAAUCCAUAUCCACCUUGUGUGCAAUGUUAGAUCUCGUCAAUCUUGGCGAGAUUUUUAUACAUCAACUCAUUCUUUAACUAAUUUGUCUGAAAAAUAUUAUGAAUACUUAAUUCAAAAUACAACUUUCAACAACGGAUCUCUUGGCUCUCGCAUCAAUGAAGAACGCAGC